rnacentral:tRNA from 1 species
GCCCGAGUGGCGGAACUGGUAGACGCACGGGACUUAAAAUCCCGCGGCCCUUAAAGCCGUGCCGGUUCGAUUCCGGCCUCGGGCA